AUAUCAGGAGGAACACCGAUGGCGAAGGCAGGUCUCUGGGCAUUAACUGACGCUGAGGAGCGAAAGCAUGGGGAGCGAACAGGAUUAGAUACCCUGGUAGUCCAUGCCGUAAACGUUGGGCACUAGGUGUGGGGGACAUUCCACGUUUUCCGCGCCGUAGCUAACGCAUUAAGUGCCCCGCCUGGGGAGUACGGCCGCAAGGCUAAAACUCAAAGGAAUUGACGGGGGCCCGCACAAGCGGCGGAGCAUGCGGAUUAAUUCGAUGCAACGCGAAGAACCUUACCAAGGCUUGACAUGGGCCGGACCGGGCUGGAAACAGUCCUUCCCCUUUGGGGCCGGUUCACAGGUGGUGCAUGGUUGUCGUCAGCUCGUGUCGUGAGAUGUUGGGUUAAGUCCCGCAACGAGCGCAACCCUCGUUCCAUGUUGCCAGCGCGUAAUGGCGGGGACUCAUGGGAGACUGCCGGGGUCAACUCGGAGGAAGGUGGGGACGACGUCAAAUCAUCAUGCCCCUUAUGUCUUGGGCUUCACGCAUGCUACAAUGGCCGGUACAAAGGGUUGCGAUACUGUGAGGUGGAGCUAAUCCCAAAAAGCCGGUCUCAGUUCGGAUUGGGGUCUGCAACUCGACCCCAUGAAGUCGGAGUCGCUAGUAAUCGCAGAUCAGCAACGCUGCGGUGAAUACGUUCCCGGGCCUUGUACACACCGCCCGUCAAGUCACGAAAGUUGGUAACACCCGAAGCCGGUGGCCUAACCCCUUGUGGGAGGGAGCUGUCGAAGGUGGGACUGUAUGAGUUUGUCUAAGU
rnacentral:rRNA from 1 species